AACGAACGCUGGCGGCAUGCCUAACACAUGCAAGUCGAACGAGGCCUUCGGGUCUAGUGGCGCACGGGUGCGUAACGCGUGGGAAUCUGCCCCUGGGUCUGGAAUAACAGUUAGAAAUGACUGCUAAUACCGGAUGAUGACUUCGGUCCAAAGAUUUAUCGCCCAGGGAUGAGCCCGCGUCGGAUUAGCUAGUUGGUGAGGUAAAAGCUCACCAAGGCGACGAUCCGUAGCUGGUCUGAGAGGAUGAUCAGCCACACUGGGACUGAGACACGGCCCAGACUCCUACGGGAGGCAGCAGUGGGGAAUAUUGGACAAUGGGCGAAAGCCUGAUCCAGCAAUGCCGCGUGAGUGAUGAAGGCCUUAGGGUUGUAAAGCUCUUUUACCCGGGAUGAUAAUGACAGUACCGGGAGAAUAAGCCCCGGCUAACUCCGUGCCAGCCGCCGCAGUAA
rnacentral:rRNA from 1 species